GAACCUGCGGAAGGAUCAUUACCGAGUGAGGGCCCUCUGGGUCCAACCUCCCACCCGUGUUUAUUCUACCUUGUUGCUUCGGCGGGCCCGCCUCACGGCCGCCGGGGGGCACUCGCCCCCGGGCCCGCGCCCGCCGAAGACACCAAUGAACUCUGUCUGAAGAUUGCAGUCUGAGCAGAUUAGCUAAAUCAGUUAAAACUUUCAACAACGGAUCUCUUGGUUCCGGCAUCGAUGAAGAACGCAGCGAAAUGCGAUAAGUAAUGUGAAUUGCAGAAUUCAGUGAAUCAUCGAGUCUUUGAACGCACAUUGCGCCCCCUGGUAUUCCGGGGGGCAUGCCUGUCCGAGCGUCAUUGCUGCCCUCAAGCACGGCUUGUGUGUUGGGCUUCGCCCCCCGGCUCCCGGGGGGCGGGCCCGAAAGGCAGCGGCGGCACCGCGUCCGGUCCUCGAGCGUAUGGGGCUUCGUCACCCGCUCUGUAGGCCCGGCCGGCGCCCGCCGGCGACCCCAAUCAAUCUUUCCAGGUUGACCUCGGAUCAGGUAGGGAUACCCGCUGAACUAAAGAAUAU
rnacentral:rRNA from 1 species